rnacentral:tRNA from 1 species
GCUCUUGUAGUUGAGUUGGUUAAAGUGCAUGCUUAAUUAGUAUAGGUCUUGAGUUCGACUCUUUACAAGAACA